AGAAUCAACGCUGGCGGCGUGCCUAACACAUGCAAGUCGAACGAGAAAGUGGAGCAAUCCAUGAGUAAAGUGGCGCACGGGUGAGUAACGCGUGGGAACCUGCCUUGGAGUGGGGGAUAACCGAUGGAAACGUCGGCUAAUACCGCAUACGUCCUGAGGGAGAAAGAUUUAUCGCUCUGAGAGGGGCCCGCGUCGGAUUAGCUAGUUGGUGGGGUAACGGCCUACCAAGGCGAUGAUCCGUAGCUGGUCUGAGAGGAUGAUCAGCCACACUGGGACUGAGACACGGCCCAGACUCCUACGGGAGGCAGCAGUGGGGAAUAUUGGACAAUGGGCGCAAGCCUGAUCCAGCAAUGCCGCGUGAGUGAUGACGGCCUUAGGGUUGUAAAGCUCUUUCGGCGGGGACGAUGAUGACGGUACCCGCAGAAGAAGCCCCGGCUAACUUCGUGCCAGCAGCCGC
rnacentral:rRNA from 1 species